rnacentral:rRNA from 5 species
ACAACUUUCAACAACGGAUCUCUUGGCUCUCGCAUCGAUGAAGAACGCAGCGAAAUGCGAUAAGUAAUGUGAAUUGCAGAAUUCAGUGAAUCAUCGAAUCUUUGAACGCACCUUGCGCCCUUUGGUAUUCCGAAGGGCAUGCCUGUUUGAGUGUCAUUAA